rnacentral:rRNA from 1 species
CCCUACGGGGGGCAGCAGUAGGGAAUCUUCCACAAUGGGCGAAAGCCUGAUGGAGCAACGCCGCGUGGGUGAAGAAGGUCUUCGGAUCGUAAAACCCUUUUGUUAGAGAAGAAAGUGCGUGAGAGUAACUGUUCACGUUUCGACGGUAUCUAACCAGAAAGCCACGGCUAACUAUGUGCCAGCAGCCGCGGUAAUACGUAGGUGGCAAGCGUUAUCCGGAUUUAUUGGGCGUAAAGGGAACGCAGGCGGUCUUUUAAAUCUGAUGUGAAAACCUUCGGCUUAACCGGAGUAGGGCAUUGGAAACU